UAUGGGCCACUGAAUUUCAUUUAUGUCAAGGAGGCAGGAGGAAGAGGAUGUUUCAAAUACUUCUUAUGUUUGAUUUUGUUCAGAUGAAAGCAAUAUCUCCUGACACAACGUCUGUUCUGAAAAGUUGAACUCUGGAGGAUGCUUGGGCACUAGAAGGAGUGAAGGAAACAGACUCCAUCAAGACCUCCCAGUCUGAACAGGAGACUUGCACUGCAGGAACGUUUUUCUCUCUUGCACAACAGUGGCCUGAACCACAACUGGGUUCUCUUGGGCUCUGUGUUAGUCUGUUGUCUUAAGACAGCUUGUGGCUGAUCUACUAGGAAGAGAAUUAUAACACAUCAUAUCUCAAAAGGGCAAAAGACUCCAUGAAAAAGAUUGCAUCUAAAAACCUCACAACUGGAGAACACUGUAACAGAGGACCAAGGUGCUGAUAUCAGAGAAGAUGCAAUGUUGGUACACUGGAAAAAAUGUGGAAAUCCAUCACAAGUACACAUUCCUUGUAAGGAAAUGUUUUAGAAAAAUGCUGGUAUUGAUGUAUUUCUAAUUGAGUUCUAAGAGUUGCCAGAAUUCAACUGUUGCUUUAAAUGUUAUCCACUUAAAAAUAAAUAAAUAGACAGAUAGAUAGAUAGAUAGAUAGAUAGAUAGAUAGAUAGAUAGAUAGAUAGAUAGAUAGAUAGAUAGAUAAAGGUCAAAUUUCAAAGGAAAUCCUGAAAGGAACACCUGUUAGUGGGACACAAAUCAGAGCUAAGCUAAAGUGUAAAGCUCUGUAAAAAGUACUGAAGGGGAGUUUAUGGACUUUAUAGCAAGGGACAUGCCAGAAGCAACACUGAACACACAGGUGUAACAGAGCUACCUUUGUGCCUCUGGCUGUGUCAUAGCAGCAUGGAAAAUUUUCUGCAUGCUAGAACAUUCACCUUCUGUGCAGAUGAAACCUAAAUGAUUUUUUUUUGUGGCAUGGUAGCAUUUCUCCAGGAAAAAAGCCAAACCAACAAACAACAGCCUUCCUAACUUCUGUAUUUUGUUGUGUACAAGAGAAUGAUACAAUAUAUGUCAUUAAAAAAAUAACGUUAUUGGAUUUGAAGUGUGCUGUAUUCCUGGAGAUUGAAAUCAAACUCUUGAGAACAGGUGAGAAUGGAAUCAAUGUCUUCCUUAAAAAGCAGAUGCAGCUUUAGUUCAGUGUAUCACUCUUGCUUCUUUUUAGAAGCACAGGCCCAGUACUACAUCACCCACAGGGAUGGGAUUUGUUACAAAUAGAAUACUCAUUUAGUUAUCUUCCUAUAUUGUGUACCUUACAUAUGGGCUUUGCAAUUUCACCUCUUAUCACAGCUUUACACAUGUAAAAGCUGCUCCAUUUUAUAUUUGACUGAAAUUUUGCGUAUUAAUCAAGGACUGUAUGUAUGUGUUAGGUAAUGUCCAGAACAUGGUGUUGAGGCACAUACUUAAUUUUUACAUCUAUUAGUGGCAUCAUUACAUUUGACUGGCUUCCUCAGUUAUUAAAUGUUACUGUGUACCAAGUUCCCUGUUGAACUGUAGUCACAAAGAGGGAUGUGCUUGAUGAACAAAGUGUACAAGAUGAAGGAAGAAUUCUCAUUCUCUGUGGCUUAUAAGAUUCUGUAUGUCAGGUGAACCAAAGAAAACUGAGGGUAAAGUUAAUCCAGUGAAUCAUUUCAGUUCUCUUCUUUAUAUGUUUGCUUUAACAUGUUACAUCUUUAAAUUGUAACUAUGUUCUUUUCUUAAAAUAAAAAUUGCUUACAAACAUCAGUUCAUGCUAAAGUUUAUGGAAACAAAAUUUUGCGUACACAUUUGCAAAAUUUCAUGUAACAGUAUUUUACAUGUGCAUUGCAGAAGUUGAUGGUGAUCCACAAUAAACAUAUUUUUAUAGAGGAAAUGGCCACAUGGCCUUCCAGGAUGUGACCUAAAGAGCAUGACAGUAUUAGCUGUCAUUGAUAAUGAGUGUAAUUGAGGUAAGAAUAAAGAACCAGUUACUACACAUAACACAGUAUAAAUUCCUUCACAUAAAGCAUUAUAAGAGUGCUUACACUGUGCUGUAAACCAACAAGUAUCUGCAUUGGGAGAAUAAUAAAUUUGCGAAGUAAAUUUCUUAGGAAGUACGUAAUGUAGGAAUUAAAAUUGCUGUGCAACUUUAACUGAGUGCCAUUGUACUUUCAUAUAACACUUUGUAAGUGAACCAAUUAAUUUUGUACCUGCUUUUAUUCAGGAUUCCUACCUCAGUUUCAAACUGAGUCAGUCAGUGAGUGAGGAAAUCUGCAACAUUUUACAAUUAAUUUUCCGUAAGUUCACUAAUGGCAUUCAUCACUGCAGCUUCUGAAUGAAAGUUAUUUGAAAAUAUCAAGUAAUUUAUGUUUUUAGCAUUGCUAUGAAGACACAAGGCUGGUUAUCCCCAAGCUGCAGAGCUACAGCAGAAACAAAGGGCAACUAAAACCAAAAAUAUUAAGUAAACAUGGGUGUCCAUUUUUGGAUGCCUCAUGGUUGGGUUUCUAAGAGCACUUGAUGAUAUGCAGCAUUUUAUGUACCCAGUGUUAGGAUCCCAUUGAUUCUGUGCCAUCCACAGGCAAAAGUGUAAAUUGGUAGCAGAACAAUUUUCAAGUGAUCACGCAUAAAACAAUUGAUUUAGGGAGUUCUUACAUGUCUACAACAAAUAAAAUUCAAUUAUCUGAACAGCAUCCAAUGAGGAACUUUUGUUUUCCAGGCCACCCCGUCCCCAAUCUCAAUUUGUGCAUCCUCCAGUUUCUGCAGCUAAUGAAGGCAGACUACAGAGAGCAGACUCCUUGGCUGUGCAAGCCUUUUCCACUGAGAGGGCACAGUCCAUCCUGUGUAAAAACAGGGAGGGGAGAAAAGAAUGGCACAAAAUAUAAUUGGAUACUCUUUCAUAUUUCACUAUGAAGAAGGAGAAAAACUUUUUCCUACCUUUUUUUUUUAAUAAUAUUAACAACAAUGUGAUUUUGCUUAGGAUUCUGCUCUUAUGGAGCUUUGAGGCUUGGAACAAUACAAUAUUUUUAUUUACCUUUGUAGGACUAGAUUAUGUUGUUAAACUAUAUUUUAAUGAUAUUGAUUCAUUAAUACAACAAAUGUUGUAUGAAGCACAUUGCAGAAAUGUCUCAACAGAUAAGAUAUGCCCUUGUCAUAACCUGUGAAAUAAAUUAAGCACAGCAUCUCUGAUUCUGUACAGGAGAAUAAGGACAGUUUACUUUCUUCUAUUUACUCCUAAAUUCCUAAAUGGAAAAUUUAGGUCCUUUCAGUAAUGACCCAGCAAGUAGCUGCUGUCUUCUGGAAGGAAGGAGACUGCUAGAAUGUAUUUCUUCAGAAUAGCUUUUUUGAUACAUUAAAACAUUUAGGAGCCUUUUUUGGAUUGUACAAAAAUCAUCUACUUCAUAUAUCAAAAAUAUGAUCUAGAAUGAUAAAUGG